rnacentral:snRNA from 1 species
GUGGUUGCUUCAGCAGCACAUAUACUAAAAUUAGAACGAUACAGAUUAGCAUGGCCCCUGUGCAAGGAUGACACGCAAAUUCGUGAAGUGUUCCAUAUUUUU